rnacentral:tRNA from 1 species
GCAGGCGUGGUGCAAUGGCAAGCAUAGGAGCGUCGUAUCCUUCUGAUGCGAGUUCAACUCUCGCCGCCUGCUCCA